AGCGCUGUUGGUCAGAGCGCUGUUGGUCAGAGCGCUGUUGGUCAGAGCGCUGUUGUUCAGAGCGCUGUAGAGCGCUGUUGGUCAGAGCGCUGUAGAGCGCUGUUGGUCAGAGCGCUGUUGAGCGCUGUUGGUCAGAGCGCUGUUGGUCAGAGCGCUGUUGUUCAGAGCGCUGUAGAGCGCUGUUGGUCAGAGCGCUGUUGUUCAGAGCGUUGUUGUUCAGAGCGCUGUUGUUCAGAGCGCUGUUGUUCAGAGCGCUGUAGAGCGCUGUUGUUCAGAGCGCUGUUGGUCAGAGCGCUGUAGAGCGCUGUUGGUCAGAGCGCUGUUGGUCAGAGCGCUGUUGUUCAGAGCGCUGUUGUUCAGAGCGCUGUUGAGCGCUGUUGGUCAGAGCGCUGUUGGUCAGAGCGCUGUUGGUCAGAGCGCUGUUGUUCAGAGCGCUGUUGGUCAGAGCGCUGUUGUUCAGAGCGCUGUUGUGCAGAGCGCUGUUGUGCAGAGCGCUGUUGUUCAGAGCGCUGUUGUGCAGAAUCCUAGCAGGACAUCAGGAGGAGCGGACCUCAGACAGCAGCAGGGAACUCAUCCAGACGGGGGAAUGGCCUCACAAAGGAAGAGCCACAGCCUUA
ensembl:lncRNA